rnacentral:rRNA from 1 species
GACAGAGGUGCCGAGCGUUAGGCGGAAUCACUGGGCUUAAAGCGUGUGUAGGCGGGUCCGUAAGUACCUUGUGAAAUCCCAUGGCUCAACCAUGGAACUGCUUGGUAUACUGCUGAUCUUGAGCCACCUAGGGGCAAGUGGAACAAACGGUGGAGCGGUGAAAUGCGUAGAUAUCGUUUGGAACGCCAAUGGUGAAAACAACUUGCUGGGGGUGUGCUGACGCUGAGACACGAAAGCCAGGGGAGCAAACGGG